rnacentral:rRNA from 1 species
GAUGAACGCUGGCGGCGUGCUUAACACAUGCAAGUCGAACGGAAAGGCUCCUGCUUGCAGGGGUACUCGAGUGGCGAACGGGGGAGUAACACGUGGGUGAUCUGCCCUGCACUUCGGGAUAAGCCUGGGAAACUGGGUCUAAUACCGGAUAGGACGAUGGUUUGGAUGCAAUUGUGGAAAGUUUUUCGGUGUGGGAUGAGCUCGCGGCCUAUCAGCUUGUUGGUGGGGUAAUGGCCUACCAAGGCGUCGACGGGUAGCCGGCCUGAGAGGGUGGACGGCCACAAUGGGACUGAGAUACGGCCCAGACUCCUACGGGAGGCAGCAGUGGGGAAUAUUGCACAAUGGGCGCAAGCCUGAUGCAGCGACGCCGCGUGGGGGAUGACGGCCUUCGGGUUGUAAACUCCUUUCGCUAGGGACGAAGCGCAAGUGACGGUACCUGGAGAAGAAGCACCGGCUAACUACGUG